UGGGGAAUAUUGCACAAUGGGGAAAGCCCUGAUGCAGCGACGCCGCGUGAGUGAAGAAGUAUUUCGGUAUGUAAAGCUCUAUCAGCAGGGAAGAUAAUGACGGUACCUGACUAAGAAGCCCCGGCUAACUACGUGCCAGCAGCCGCGGUAAUACGUAGGGGCAAGCGUUAUCCGGAUUUACUGGGUGUAAAGGGUGCGUAGGUGGUAUGGCAAGUCAGAAGUGAAAACCCGGGGCUCAACCCGCGGAUGCUUUGAAUACUGUCAGACUGGGGUACCGGAGAGUAAGCGAAUUCCUAGUGUAGCGGUGAAAUGCGUAGAUAUUAGGAGGAACACCAGUGGCGAAGGCGGCUUACUGGACGGUAACUGACACUGAGGCACGAAAGCGUGGGGAGCAAACAGGAUUAGAUACC
rnacentral:rRNA from 1 species